UGUAGGGUAGCUCGGUUGGUAGAGCAUGAGGUUCUUAAUCUCAGGGUCGUGGGUUUGAACCCCACCUUGGGCAA